AGGAUGCCGAGCAUAUUAUAU
rnacentral:miRNA from 2 species